UACGGGGGGGGCAAGCGUUGUUCGGAAUUACUGGGCGUAAAGCGCACGUAGGCGGAUUUGUAAGUCAGGGGUGAAAUCCCGGGGCUCAACCUCGGAACUGCCUUUGAUACUGCGAAUCUCGAGUCCGAUAGAGGUGGGUGGAAUUCCUAGUGUAGAGGUGAAAUUCGUAGAUAUUGGGAAGAACACCAGUGGCGAAGGCGGCUAACUGGUCCAGAUCUGACGCUGAGGUGCGAAAGCGUGGGGAGCAAACAGG
rnacentral:rRNA from 1 species